UUGUAAUUUGGAGAAGGUGUUUCGGAAGAGAUGAUGGUCCAAGUCCCUUGGAACAGGGCGUCGCAGAGGGUGAGAAUCCCGUAUGUGACCAAUCAUCGAUUCCAUGUGAAACCCUUUCGACGAGUCGAGUUGUUUGGGAAUGCAGCUCUAAAUGGGUGGUAAAUUUCAUCUAAAGCUAAAUACCUGCCAGAGACCGAUAGCGCACAAGUAGAGUGAUCGAAAGAUGAAAAGCACUUUGAAAAGAGAGUCAAACAGUACGUGAAAUUGUUGAAAGGGAAGCGCUUGCAAUCAGACUCGUUUGUAGAAGUUCAGCCUUCUUUCGAGAUGGUGUAUUCUUCUGUCAACGGGCCAGCAUCAGUUUCGGCGGUUGGAUAAAGACUUUGAGAACGUAUCUCUUCUCAAGAGUGUUAUAGCUCGGAGUGUAAUGCAGCAGCUGAGACUGAGGUCCGCGCUUUUUCUUU
rnacentral:rRNA from 1 species